rnacentral:rRNA from 1 species
GCGGCGGCUUAAACAUGCAAGUCGCAACGAUGAAGCCCAGCUUGCUGGGUGGAUUAGUGGCGAACGGGUGAGUAACACGUGAGUAACCUGCCCUUAACUCUGGGAUAAGCCUGGGAAACUGGGUCUAAUACCGGAUAGGAGCGUCCACCGCAUGGUGGGUGUUGGAAAGAUUUAUCGGUUUUGGAUGGACUCGCGGCCUAUCAGCUUGUUGGUGAGGUAAUGGCUCACCAAGGCGACGACGGGUAGCCGGCCUGAGAGGGUGACCGGCCACACUGGGACUGAGACACGGCCCAGACUCCUACGGGAGGCAGCAGUGGGGAAUAUUGCACAAUGGGCGCAAGCCUGAUGCAGCGACGCCGCGUGAGGGAUGACGGCCUUCGGGUUGUAAACCUCUUUCAGUAGGGAAGAAGCGAAAGUGACGGUACCUGCAGAAGAAGCACCGGCUAACUACGUGCCAGCAGCCGCGGUAAUACGUAGGGUGCGAGCGUUAUCCGGAAUUAUUGGGCGUAAAGAGCUCGUAGGCGGUUUGUCGCGUCUGUCGUGAAAGUCCGGGGCUUAACCCCGGAUCUGCGGUGGGUACGGGCAGACUAGAGUGCAGUAGGGGAGACUGGAAUUCCUGGUGUAGCGGUGGAAUGCGCANAUAUCAGGAGGAACACCGAUGGCGAAGGCAGGUCUCUGGGCUGUAACUGACGCUGA